CAUGGCAGAAGCGUACGACGUCCUGGAAUUUCAAGAACUUGACGGUGUAAUAGAUCUUUUCUUUGCUAAAGAUUUGUUUGAGACAUCUCAACCUGUCGUUCCAGUAGCAUCCGCGGAACAUCCGAACAAAACACAAUUCGCGCCAGGCAUUUUGUUAGUGCGAGCAGAAACCGGAAGUAAGCUGUGCCCGAUAUCAGCGUCAGAGGCCCGCCGUCACAUAAGGUAGUGACGUCACACGGUGGGCGUUCCCGUUAGUAUUCUAG